rnacentral:rRNA from 1 species
CGCACCUACCGAUCGAAUGAUUCGGUGAAACUUUCGGACCGUAGCUAGGACGCCUUCUGGCGACUUGGCCGUGGGAAGUUAUUUAAACCUCAUCAUUUAGAGGAAGGUGAAGUCGUAACAAGGUU